AUUGAACGCUGGCGGAAUGCUUUACACAUGCAAGUCGAACGGCAGCACGGACUUCGGUCUGGUGGCGAGUGGCGAACGGGUGAGUAAUACAUCGGAACGUGCCCAAUCGUGGGGGAUAACGUAGCGAAAGCUACGCUAAUACCGCAUACGAUCUACGGAUGAAAGCGGGGGAUCGAAAGACCUCGCGCGAUUGGAGCGGCCGAUCGCAGAUUAGGUAGUUGGUAGGGUAAAGGCCUACCAAGCCGACGACCUGUAGCUGGUCUGAGAGGAUGGUCAGCCACACUGGGACUGAGACACGGCCCAGACUCCUACGGGAGGCAGCAGUGGGAAAUUUUGGACAAUGGACGCAAGUCUGAUCCAGCCAUUCCGCGUGCAGGAUGAAGGCCCUCGGGUUGUAAACUGCUUUUGUACAGAACGAGAAGGCUCUGGUUAAUACCUAGGGCUCAUGACGGUACUGUAAGAAUAAGCACCGGCUAACUACGUGCCAGCCGCCGCCGUAA
rnacentral:rRNA from 1 species